GAUCUCAGUUCGGACUGUAGGCUGCAACUCGCCUACACGAAGUUGGAAUUGCUAGUAAUCGUGGAUCAGCAUGCCACGGUGAAUACGUUCCCGGGUCUUGUACACACCGCCCGUCACACCAUGGGAGCUGGUAACACCCGAAGUCAGUAGUCUAACCGCAAGGAGGACGCUGCCGAAGGUGGGAUUAGCGACUGGGGUGAAGUCGUAACAAGGUAUC
rnacentral:rRNA from 1 species